UGGGGGGUCGUCUAAUGGUAGGACAUGGGACUUUGAAUCCCAUAAUGAAGGUCCGAUUCCUUCCCCCCCAG
rfam:Candidatus Lloydbacteria bacterium RIFCSPLOWO2_12_FTLL_51_9 rifcsplowo2_12_scaffold_94158, whole genome shotgun sequence.